rnacentral:tRNA from 1 species
GGGCCGGUAGAUUAGCCCGGCAACGUGUCGCACUACGUGACAUUUCGGGGCAGAUCGUCUGGUUUGCAUCCAGAAGGUCGCGUGUUCAAAUCACGCCCGGUCCACCA